rnacentral:rRNA from 1 species
GUCCUUAGUUACCAGCACGUUAUGGUGGGCACUCUAAGGAGGACUGCCGGGUGACAAACCGGAGGAAAGGUGGGGGAUGACGUCAAGUCAUCAUGGCCCUUACGGCCUGGGCUACACACGUGCUACAAUGGUCGGUACAAAGGGUUGCCAAGCCGCGAGGUGGAGCUAAUCCCAUAAAACCGAUCGUAGUCCGGAUCGCAGUCUGCAACUCGACUGCGUGAAGUCGGAAUCGCUAGUAAUCGUGAAUCAGAAUGUCACGGUGAAUACGUUCCCGGGCCUU